UCCCUAUUUCAGUGAUGCAAUUUGGAUUGUAGGUGACAUAAGAUUUGGGUUGGGGAAGAGAGAGGGAGGUUGAAAGAGAGGGAGAGAUUCGAAUGAUUUGAGACUAGUUUCUGAGAUAGAGAUGGGAAGAAACAACGUAACGGUUGGUGGAGAAGCGGAGAAGAGAGAGAAUGGGGAAGGGAGAGAGUGGGGAAGAGAAACAUGUAGGGAUUUAAAAGUCUUUUCCUAGAAGGGUAUACAUGUCUUUGAAGUUUUUAUUAAAAUGUGGCCGGGAAAAUAGGAUAAUGAUGGGUUUAGUAGCUCUCAAAUCGAUUAACGACCAUCGUUCUGUGUCUCCGUCUGUCUUCAGAUUAUCCUCCUAAUCGGAGAAGAAGGGCAACCAAAUCCUCGUUGUACGUCCUUGUUUUCUAAGGCAUCGAAAUCUUGAUCCUCCGAAUUCGUGGUUUUCUGAUUCUUCCCGGCGCUCCUCUCGAUUGAUUCCAUGGUCUGAUCUUCGGCGAAUUGCAAUCCGACGGUGGCGAUGGCGUCGGCGCAGAACCAAUCGGCGAAUGUGGAUCUCUUCGAUGCGUAUUUCCGACGAACGGGUUUGGACCGGCCGGAUUAGUGGCAAUGAAGCCGUCGCUGUCUUCCAGGGCUCCGGUCAACCAAACAUGUUUUUGCGCAGUCCAGAUUGAUAGAAUUACUACCCAUCAUGCCACAUGAUCUUUUAUGGAGCGGUUUAGGGAGGGACGCCCUCUUCCAGCAGUGCUACCAAGGAAUGUUAUGUUUGAUUUAUCCCGGAGUUAAAGUUGUUUAUGUUUCCUCUUCUGGGUGGUGGAUGACUGACAAUGUUUAGUUGGUGGCAUUUAGCUUGAAUUCCUGAACGUAACAGUCUAGAUGAAGCAUAUUUUUCUGCGAGAUGCUUUGCUGCUGGAUGUUCAUUCUUUGCAUGACGCGUUUGAUAUAACCAAUAUUUUUCAACCUGGAAAUAAUUACUUCACUGCUGGCAAUGUAUUCUGGAGACCUGCAUCUGGCAUUCAUCCAUAAAACAAAUUACUUUUUUUUUUUUCUUUUUCAAAAACCAUAUGUCUUUCUUUGAUGGAGAAUAGUUUCUUAUUUUUCACUUUGAAAGGCUUUCAACAACAGCAACCGAUGCCUGGUCCUGGUGCUCGGCACAUGGCAACCCCAGCUGGAGGAAGGCCACCGAAGCCAGUUGCUCUUUCUCAUGCUGAGGAAAAGCAGCAGGCCAUUCAGCAGAAACCUAGAGUACCAGAAUUGGAGAAACAUCUUGUAAAUCAACUGAGUACAGAGGAGGUUAACUCACUGAACUCAAAGUUCAAAGAAGCAACCAAAGCUGAUAAAAAAGGUCGAAGAACUGGAGAAAGAAAUAUUGGAUGCUAGAGAGAAAAUUGAAUACUUCCGGGUCAAAAUGCUGGAACUUCUGAGUAUCUUGUGUUUAUUUCUGCCCUUUCUUUCUUGUAUGCCAUUGGUUGUGCAUAUUGAACAUUCUACAGUAGUUUUAAUUUUUGCGUUUGAGUAUAAUUGUUCUACGAGUGACAGAUUUUUGGACAUCCUAAUCAUUUGUUGUUUUUAAAUAUUCUGCAGACUUCUUACUAUUUGAUUUUUGCAGUGGUGUAAGUUAGUAUUGAUUCUUGAAUUGACAAGUACUCUUGGGAGGAACUGCAGAUCAUGCGUUUUAUCAUUGUCCUAUAGCUUUAUAUGUGUGGCUGAGAUUGUGCAGGGAAGGAAAUGUCAGUUGGGUAAUUCCUGCAGGGUACAUAAGUUGUUUGGUGGUGAUAUGAAGGCUUUUGUGAGGGUGCAGUAUGCCAGCAAUUUUUUGGGGUUUAUUGGUUUGAGAGAAACACGAGGAUUUUUUAAAACGAUAGUUGGGAGAGGACUAGUUAUGGAAUAAAGAUAGAUUUUGUUCACCACGUUGGCUGAUCUAUUUUUCUUAUUGGUAUAAGGUUUUGUAAAAGAGCAGAUGUGACAAUUGCCUUAAUGAGAUCAUAGAAAGGGCAUCUACUGAUAGACGUGAGGAUUCACUUUUGUCAAGGAGCUCACUCUUGAUGUGUCAAAUGUCUGGGCACCUCCAGAACAGAAAUCAUCAUCAGUUCAGAAAGAAAAAGCUCCCCCAGUUAGGAGUCCAACAACUGCUUUUUCACCUAAAGUUGAUGUUAAGUCAAAAAAGCCUCAAAGUGCGGAUACCAAGGUUGUUGAAAAUGGAGUAGCGUAUGAUAAAAAUGAGGAUGAGUUAGCAAAAAGUGCUCCAAACAGUCCAUUUGCCAGCAGCACUGUUGGAAGCCCAUCUAGAGAAUAUUCAGAUUCUAACUAUGGAAAGACAACAGAUGCAGAUGCCUCACCCCGUAAUAAGGAAUCUGAAAGUGAUGAUCAUGCGGGUGCUGGGUCUAUGUUUUCUGGCGACAAUGGUUCCGAUGAACCAGCAUGGGGGACAUUUGACACUAAUGAUGAUGUUGACUCGGUGUGGGGUUUCAAUGCAUUUAGUACCACCAAGAUAUGGGCACAUG